AUCAAAUGAAUAAGCAUUCAUCGGAAUUUUUAUGACACGCGUUCAAUUUAAACACCACCAUCAUCACCAUCAUCCUGACUAGUCUUUCAGGCGAUGUGUGCUGGAAGACAUUCAGAUCUUCCAGUGGUGCAUGAACGCAUGAGAAAGCCCCCGGAAGAUCAUCUUCCGGGGGCUUUUUU
rnacentral:sRNA from 1 species